AGAGUUUGAUCAUGGCUCAGGAUGAACGCUGGCGGCGUGCUUAACACAUGCAAGUCGAACGGAGAUAGCGGAGAGCUUGCUUUCUGCUAUCUUAGUGGCGGACGGGUGAGUAACGCGUGGGUAACCUACCCUGUACAGGGGGAUAGCAGCUGGAAACGGCUGAUAAAACCGCAUAAACGGCAGUACCGCAUGGUACAACCGUCAAAUAUUCAUAGGUACAGGAUGGGCCCGCGUCUGAUUAGCCAGUUGGUGGGGUAACGGCCUACCAAAGCGACGAUCAGUAGCCGGCCUGAGAGGGUGAACGGCCACAUUGGGACUGAGACACGGCCCAAACUCCUACGGGAGGCAGCAGUGGGGAAUAUUGGACAAUGGGGGGAAACCCUGAUCCAGCGACGCCCGCGUGAGUGAAGAAGUAUCUCGGUAUGUAAAGCCCUAUCAGCAGGGAAGAUGAUGACGGUACCUGACUAAGAAGCACCGGCUAAUACGUGCCAGCAGCGGC
rnacentral:rRNA from 1 species